AUGUGUGAGCCCUGGAGGCAGAGAGAGGUCAGGGCAGGGAGUCUCAUCAGAGCCUUUCUGAUAAAAUGGGAGAAAGAGAAAUGCUCUCAGGGCAGGGGUGUCUAAACUCUUGCCCCCUGACUGGGCAUCCAGGCUGCCCUCGGGACACAGCCCCUGCGGUGAGGGGUCAGCCCCUUGUGGAUAGCAGAGCCUCCGGGCAGUGUGUCCAGGCCCUCCCUGUCCAGCUGAUGCAGGCUGGCCCCUUGCAUUCUCCAGCUGACAGCGAGGCCAGGAGCGAGGAGGUCACAGGUCAUGGCCGGGCACUGGGGCCCUGGAGCUCACAAAGCGGGAGCCGCUUCCCUGGGCAACAUGAGUUUCUGGAAAGCAGUCUCUUGUAUUUGUCAAUGGUACAGUGUCUCACUCAGAAAUUAUUGGGAAAAGUGAAACCCUGAACUGGAAGCCAACGUCUUAGGCAUUUAUAAGGUUUAACCCAUUUAUGAAGAAGAAAUGUCCUUUCGUUAUGAAAAAGAAAGCUUUUCUUCAUGAAGAAAUGCUUUAUAAUCGCCAUUUCCUGAAAGCUUCCAUUCAAAAAGGUAAAUUCCAUGCUUCAUUUUUGCCAACUCACUUCUCUCCAAAUCUUGUAGACUGGAUUACAGAGGACGUCGGGCAAUCUUAAUCAGCAGUCUGGAGAUUCAUGACCCCUCUCCACGGCCUGACUCCAGGGUACACGGAAAUAUCCUUUGAUGAAUAGCCUCUUCGAACAUCAGAACUGGGCACAAGCAUCUGAUCCAAGUCUUGCCUUUUCCAGACAAGGAUGCCGGGGCCGAAGGGAGAAGGAAUGAAGUUAUCCAAGAGAUGGAGUAUCCGUCUGUCGCCCAGGCUGGACUGCAGUGGCCCAAUCUCGGCUUACUACAACCUCUGCCUCCUGGGUUCAAGCAAUUCUCCUGCCUCAGCCUCUCGAGUAGCUGGGACUACAGGUACACACCACCAUACCCGGCUAAUUUUUAUUGUAUUUUAGUAGAGAAGGGGUUUCACCAUGUUGCCCAGGCUGAUCUCGAACACCUGAGCUCAGGCAAUCCGCCUGCCUCAGCCUCCCAAAGUGCUAGGAUUACAGGCAUGAGCCACCACAUCUGGCUGAGAGAUUUGCCUUCUCAGGCCAUCACCAAAUUUCACUUCUCCAACUCUCUCUGGGUCCUGCUAUGAGAAUUUCCCCCAAUCCCCCGCCUCUCUGCCCAAACCGCUCUCAUCAAGGCCAUCGAGGGGCUCCAUCCCAUGGUCAGUGCUCACCUCUCAUUUGUCUUGACUAUCAGUGGCACCUCACCUAACAAAUCACUUCCUCUUCUUGAAGUUCUUUUCACUUUGCUUCCCAGGCACCACACUCUCCUGAUUUCCUCCUAGUGGGCAGUUCACACUUCUUGGUCUCUUGUGAGCCUUCCUCCUCAUCACUCCAGCUGCUCCAGUCCUCUGCACUCACCUCUCUUCUCUCUCUGUACUGGUCCCUGGGAGAUCUCAUUCUUCUCUUUUUUUUUUUUUUAAUUUUCACUGCCCCAGUGAAGGGAGAUCAUUAUUCUUAUUAGAAUAUGCCCCUAGGUUUAUAUCUUCAUUCUUCUUUUGCUGCUGUAACAAAUUACUGGCUUAGUGGAUUUAGUAGCUUAAAACAACACAGAUUUAGUCUCUCAUAAUUCUGGAGAUCAGAAGUCUUACGGGGCUAAAAAUCAAUGUGCCAGCAGAGCUGGUUUCUUCUGAAGGCACCUGGGGAGAAUCCAUUCAUUGCCUCUUCUAACUUCUAGAGGCUGCCAGUGUUCCUUGGCUUGUGGCUAUUGUAACUGUGACCCCUGCUUCUAUCAUCACACCAUCUUUUCCUCUUUUAUUCCUCUUGUGUCCUUCUAAGAGCCAUAGUGAUCACAUCUGGAUCAUUCAGGCUAACCUCAAAGUCCUUAACUUAAUCAAACCUGCAGAGUCCCUUUUCCCAAAUAAAGUAACACUCAUGGGUUCUGGGGGUUAGGGUGGGAACAUAUUUGGGGGGUCAUUAUUGGGCCUACCAUACCAGCUUGGACUUCUUUCUGUCUUCACACUUGGAUACCCAGUUGUCUACUCUGCUACUCUACUGGAAUAUUUAAUAGGUGUCUUAAAACCAACAUGAUAAAUGAGCUGUUUCUCUUGAAGUCUUCUUCAUCUCAGUUCAUGACAACUCCUUCCUUCUAGCUGUCCAGCCCAAAAACUUUGCUGUCUCCCUUAAUUCCUCCAUUUUUCUUACAUAUCACAUUCAAUUUCAGCAGCAAAUUCAAUUGUCAGCUCGUCUCAACUCAAUGUUGGUGCUUG